GAUGAACGCUGGCGGCGUGCCUAAUACAUGCAAGUCGAGCGGACAAAGGAGGAGUGUGCCUGUAUGCCGCUACGGGCGGGCGAGUAAGGACCAGGAGGCUAACCGACCUAUAAGGAUGGGGUAACGUCGGGGAACCGGAUAUAAUAUCCGUCCAUAUGUUGAAAGGGAGGGAUCAAUAGUGCACAACGGAUUUGAUGUGACUUAUACGUGUAUCCUCGCCGGAGUAGCUAGUUGGUACGGUAACGGCUUACCAAGGCUACGAUGCGUAGCCGACCUGAGAGGGUGAUCGGCCACACUGGAACUGAGACACGGUCCAGACUCCUACGGGAGGCAGCAGUAGGGAAUCUUCCGCAAUGGGCGAAAGCUUGACGGAGCAACGCCGCGUGAGUGAUGAAGGUCUUCGGAUCGUAAAACUCUGUUAUUAGGGAAGAACAAAUGUGUAAGUAACUAUGCACGUCUUGACGUUACCUAAUCAGAAAGCCACGGCUAACUACGUG
rnacentral:rRNA from 1 species